UUUUGUUUUCGUGAUAGUCCACUUAAGUCCUUAUGGUUUACUUGUAUUUAAAAUAAUUUAUAUAUUUUAAAAAACAUAGCAUAUAAACCUCUUUCAUUAAGUUUGAGUUAAUAGACGUUAAAGUCUACUUACGUGAUAUGAUGACUUACAAUAAAUCAUUAAUAUAAAGACACGUAUAAUUUAAGUUUAAAAAAUGAUUACGGUCUAUUUUAGCCUUUGUGAUUUUUGUCAUGACUUAAGUCCUUAUGGUUCACUCAUGUUUAAAAUAACCUCUACAUUUAAAAAAAGAUAACAUAUAAGCCUCUUUCGUCAAGUCUGAAUUAAUAGAUAUUAGAAUUUACUUACGUGGUAUACUGACUCACAAUAAACCAUUAAUAUAAUGAUAAAUAUAAUUUAAAUUAAAAAAAAGGUUAAGAUCCAUCUAUUGAGGAAGCGACAGACGAAGACAAAGAGAUAGGGGCAGGAGAGGCUGGAGGCGGAAGUGAGUGAGAGUUGGACCACCACGUUAUAGGGGUGGCGGGUGAGGGUGUAGGAGAGGAUUAGGAGACCAUUGCGUGCACAACGUCAAAUCAGUCGACACACAUCCACCCGAGAUAGGACAGAAAGCUCUUGAGCUCGUUGUUAGCAAUGGAAAGACUACAUGUAUAUGAUACUUUGCUAGGUAGAAAUGGCUCAAUGCUGUGUGGUCGCUUCCAUGACGAUGUCUCAUCUCGUCAUUGAUGGUAAUCUCAAUUAUUUUAAAACUUAAAUUAUAUAUUAUUAUAUUAAAUAAUUUAUUAUGAGCCAACAUGCUACGUAAGUAAACUCUAACAUUUAUUAACUCAGACUUGACGGAAGAGACAUAUAUACUAUGUUUUUUUAAAUAUAUAAAUUAUUUUAAAUAUAAAUAAAUCAUUAGGGUUUAAGUGGUUUAUGAUCAAAAUCAUAAUAGUUAAAAUGAAUCUUUAACUUGUUUUUUUACUUAAAUUAUAUAUAUUAUUAUAUUAAUAAUUUAUUAUGAGUUAUGUUAUGUAAAAAAAAAAGAAAAAAAUAAUUUAGAUAUGAAUAAAUUAUAAAAUAAACCUUUUUAGCCCUAAAAUGUAUUCUUGUUUACCUCGCUUCGAACAUAACUAUUAUGUCAGCGAUUAGUUCCCACAGUCACCUUUUUCAUGGAAUUGACCUAAGAACCUGGAACGAUUGAUUGGCAGCACGGAAAGAGACAAUGGCUUUUGUGGUGCUGAUCAGGCGGCAUCUCUGUAGAUCUUGAGGCCGCGCCGUGAGGGCAGAGAGCUCCUCGUAAAACCCUCGACCGAUUGCCCUCUCGUCUGUUGUGUUCUCUUCGAUCAUUCUUCUUCUGCAUUUUACGGGUGAGUUUCGACGAAGCUUUGACGAAUCGUGCAUAUUCUUGUCUGUGUUCAUGUUGCUGGUUCGGAUUUUUCAUCUAAUGUGGUUGUAUGUCAUGAUCUAAUGUUUGGUCUGUCUUGCUUUCUGUUGUUGUUUGAGUUUGAAGACCACGAUUUGGACAGCUACCCCAAAUGGGGUAAAUGUUCUAAGCACAUUACCUAAUCACUGUGAGAGUCCACUAUUUCUCUCUCUGUUUUGGUUUUCUUUCUGUUGUCAUUUGGACAGCUACCCCAAAUGUGGUAAAUGUUCUGAGCACAUUACCGAAUCACUGCGAGAGACCACGACGAACGACGGCGACGACGUUCUGAGCACAUUACCUGUUCUGUUGUCGGGCGACGACGUCUUCCUCUCCGUCGGCGAACGGCGGCAUCUUCCUUCGGCGAGAGGCUUCCGUGCGAUCUCCGGCGGGCUGUUAUUCGGUAACUCUAUCUCGUUCUCUCUUCUCCUUCGUCAUCGCCCUCCUCCCCCUCCCCCGGACCCCGACGGAACCCCUCUCCUUCCUCCUCCGCCGUAGCCGCGUCCCCCUGAGUUCCCCCUCCUUAGCUGUCCCCCGAGUUGUUUCCGUGGGGAACGUUCUCUUUCCCCAUCUCGGAUAUUUGGUCCCCCACACAACCGGUUCUUUGUCCGCCCUCAGUAAAAUGUUGCAUAUGGAUUCCCACUCUGUGCGAUUCUAUUUUUGUUUUUUAUCCUCUGAUUGCUCGGCUUGCUCCUCCUCCCUGCUCUCGGAUCCUGGCAGCCCCUUCUCCUUCCUCCUCCUCCUCCUCCUCCCUCUUCCCCUCCUAACCGACAGAAACCCCUCCCAUACUCCAACAGCUCCCUCUCCCUCCUCCGCCUUCUACUCCUCCUCCCUGCUUCCCUUCCAACCGACAGCAACCCACCUCUCACAUACCCCGACAGCCCCCUCUCCUCCUCCAACGAGAGCUCCUUCCUUCCCUCCCAACUGACUGCAACCCCCUCUCCCUCCUCCGCCACCUAUGUUCUUUUUUUCUUUUUUGUUAAUAUAGCAUGUGAAUUUUGUAAAUGAUUGAAUUUGUCAUUGGCUCCUUGCUACUUCAUAGUUUUGUCACUUUUGUCAUUAUAUUUGGAUAAUAUAAUUUAUUACUUUAAAUGAAUCUAAUUUGAUGUAUUAUUUUUAUUUUAGUUAUCAUAUUUAUUAAUAAUGAUAUACAAUUUUAAAAUUUUAAUAUCCAGGGCACCUCGGUGCACUUGGGCGAUCGCUAGCAACUCAGGUGUUUUGGCACCUUGGCACCAAUUAGUUCCUAGCAUCUUUGACUACACUUGACUACACUGGUAAUAUUAUGUCUUGACCAUUGAGCUAUAACGGUGCUAAUUCAGAACUGUUCUCAUUACUGAUUUCGUUCUUUUAGAAAUCAUUGUUCAUUAGUGUGAAUUGGACCACCCAUUUAAUAGGAACAGUUUGACAGUAAAAGUGCAUGUUAAUUGUUUGCUUUGUUAGCAAAGUGAAAAACCUUUCUAAAUGGUCAACACUUCCAAUUAUAUUGGAAAAACAGUCUAAGUUUCCAUUCUUUAACUGGUUGUGUCUUUGAUCCUGGUAUUAUCAUUUACUUCAACAAGUUUUAGAUUGUAAAACCUUUUUCCCCUAGUGGUUAGCGUCUAAAAGAACUGGAUCUAUCUUAUCAUCUAUUUAAUCUUGCACUACACAUCAAAAGUUAUACUUGAUCCAUUGGAUAAUUAUUAUGCCUUAGGUCAUGUUUUUAUUCUCAAAUUGGCUCACUAGAGAAUCACAAUGUAGAUUUGUUAAUCUAUAUAAACUUGAUAUGCUGUCUUAUCUAUAUACCAUGGUGCGACUGUAAUAAUAUGUUCCAGAGUAUCUGUAUCCAAUAUAUGGCAUAUCAAAUGAACUAAAUUUAAGAAACUUAGCAAAUUUUAUGCUGUGUGAUUAUGCAAAUUGAAUGCUAUCUAGUAACAGAAAUAUAUAUUGAGAUGUAUGCGAGGGCAAUCAGUGAGAGAAACUAUAGGGGGUGUUGGUAAAUAAUUUGUCAAUGAAACAUAUACCAGCUGCAGCAAUUUAAUUUUCAAAAAUAUAGAAAUCUGCAGAAAUUUUCCUUUUUUUACUUUUCACAAAAUUAUCAAUACAUAUAGACGGAUACAUACUUAUAUGGUCAAGAUAUAUUAAUUUGAAUGUGGCCAGAAUCAAUUUUUUUAGGCAACAUGUAGGACAUGCAUGAAACCACAAUUACAUUUUCAUGUAUAUACCAAUUUGAAUCUAGCCUAGAAUCAUUUUUUCAGACAACAUGUGGGACAUGCAUCAUACCACAAUUGCAGCUUUGUGACAUGCCUUUAGCAAUAGUUCCUCUCUGAUAUUGAUUGUUCUGACUCAACCUGAUAACCUACUAACCCAAGCCACUUUUAUUGUCCUUAUGAUUGUGCCUGUGGUCUCUGGCCAUUCUUUUGAAAUACAUUUGAACUUGAAUAUGAAAUGUUUUCUGAAGCCGGGACUCAGAAUAUGAGAUACUUAUAUUUUUUUUGGAAGUCAAAUGAGUUAAUCAUAUUAUUUUUGGUUUGAACUAAUAUGCUUGUAAUUUUUUAGUUGAGUGACCUUCAGAUUUCUGAAUUAACUGCAUUUCUCACAUAUUUAUGUACACUUAUUUUCUUGUUCUUGGUUACUAAUGGUUAAAAAAAAAAACUUUCUAACAUAUUAAAGCACACUACUUUUUAGAGAUAUGCAUUUUCAAGGACACAAGAGGAGGAAAAUUAACAAUGAGGAUAGCAACGAUAAUUGCAUAUCAAAUUUGAAAACUCCACCUCUUAACUAUGGAAAGAUUGGAGGCUCUUCUAAGGUUAUUGACUACUCAAAUGAUUUUGCUUUAACCAAUCUUCUGGAAAGGUUAGAAGAUGGUAAGUAUGGGAGUGUAACCAAAGAAUAUGAAGCUCUUCAUUCUCAGAGGAUGCAGGUAAUCAAUUUUUUAUCUGCGUUACAGCCAAGUAUAGCAUCUAGAACUUUUCAGGGUGGUGGAAGCACUUCUACUAAUUUAUCAACAAGGCAGAAUCAGAUGAAGUCAGGUCAACAUGGUGAUAACUUAUCUCAUGAUAUAAUCGAUCUGGAAGUUGAUACCAUGGAAGGUGCUGCUAACCCUGUCAGAAUACCUGUAGAACAGACACAGGAUGCUGUUGGGAAUAUCUCACUACAUUCCAGUGAUUUUGAGUCUGUAACGCGGAAGGGAAAGUUAGAUGCUGCACGUGGCCCAUUGAAUACACCCCCAGUAGAUGAAGACAACAAAGAGGAAACCACAGUCAUAAUUGUAGAUUCAGACGAAGAAGAUGCAAGCCAUCAAGGCAAAACAAAAUAUGAUUGCCACCCUGAUCAUGAGGUCUUGGAAUUUGGAGCGUCACUGGCAAGUCAAAUCCAGAAGCACAUAUCACGAGCCAGCAAGUUAGCACAAGAAGUUAACUUGUAUCAACUAGUUCCAUAUGACCAAGGAAUUGGAAGAUCAGUGUGUACUACUAAUUUUAAACCAAACUGGCAGCCUUCUGUUCAUUUUGAAAAGGUGGUCUUACAGACAGUCGAUGAGAAGCAGCGGUUUCAAGAUGUUGUUGUAAGUAUUCGGUGUAUUACCUUGAAGCAAUUACUUCAAUUUGCACAGAUAUGAUGUGCAUGCGUGACCAUCUCUUAACCUUCAUGUCCCUACAAUGUUACCUUUACUUGCCAAAAAUGUACAGUUAUUAUAUUUGGAAAGGACAUAUAGAAAAUUGAAUUCUACAUUAUUUGACCUAAAGAAAGUGGUGACCCAAGUCAGAUCUGGAUGUUUUGAACUAGAUAAUUUGACGGUGCAAGAAAAACUUAUAAAAACUCAUGUGCAUUCUUUGAAGAAGAAAGGUUUUCAUUUGCAUAGAUAUUUUAGCUUGACCCCUUCUUGUUGACAUACUGUUUCUGGUUAAUUCUCAGAAUUAUUCGUGAUAUCGUCUAUCUCAGUUUCAUGAUAUUAAAGAUUGAAACACAAUCUUUGUCAUAUGCCAUAUCUGUGUAGUUAUGCAGUCUGUAGCAGACAUCCACUGAGAAUGCAUGCCAAUUAGCUCUCUAGAAAUGAAAUAUACUAAUAAUUAUGGGUGAAUUUAUACUGAAAGUCCAUCAACUAGGAACCAGCUGGUAUUUUAACUUGGUUGUAUGUGCCCAUAUGUAGUAUUUUCUAAAUGUCUAGAACAAUUCUCUUCAAAUAAAGAAGGAUCAUCGGUUACAUUUCAUAGAAACAAGCUGGAUCUUGCAGCAAAUGGACAGUAAAUCUGCAAAAAGUUGACAGGCUCAAGGAAGCUAGAAAUUGUUGUCUGAACUUCGAAAAGAAGUAUUCAUGAAAUUUGAGUGUAAAAUAACAUGUGAUUAGUAGAUACUCUGGUUCUUUGUCUUUGAAAAUGAGGUUCAUGAUAGUAUCUUAUCUUCUAGUAACUCAGGGGCCAAAGUGAAAUAAUAUGUUAAUGUAAAAUGGGGUAACUCCACAUUGUGUGCUUUGGAAUGGCCAUAGUUCUGUAACUUUUCUUUGUGGUGUUCUCCUAGGAAUGAGAUAGAAACAAAAGCUACUGGAACUUUUGAUUCUUUAGGAAAUAAGGUGUCCUUCAAGAAAGAAAAGGGAGAGAAGAGAGAGACGAAAAGAGAAGAAAGAUAAAGAGGAACUCUAUAACAGCGAGUAUUAUCAAGUUUAGAACUCGAUUUUAUAGUCCUGAGGGCCAUAGAUCAAUUUUAUUUGUGGACUCCUUUUCAUUGUAUCUGAUACCUAUGUCAUACAGGAUUAAUAGGGCCUGGAUGAUCAUCCAAUGUUGACCUUCUGGUGCUGGUCGCAUAGCCUUGGAUGACCAGGCUUAGGUCACCCUUCUUAGUCUCUAACUAGGAGUCCAAAAAGGCUUAAACUCAUUUGAGUUGACCUUCCUGUGUGAUUUAUUGUCAAUUUGACUAACUUUGGUGCAAACUCAAAGUGAAAGAAGGUUGUUUGGACUGCUGUCGUCCUACCUCCAAUAGACUAGGCCUUGUUACCCGGUCAAUCCCUAUACAAUUAUAGUGACCUCUGGAGGUGCCACUUGUGUAGCAUCUCCAUCGUAUAUGCAACACUUCUUAAAUUAGCAUCUAUUACAACUUUCUUUGGUAUUUCUUAAGCUCUGAGACAUGGAAGGGAUCAUGGAUGUAAGCAUUUACUAUCAACUGGAACCUAUAACCUUUUGAUCCUAUAAGUGUACAACCACAUUGAAUGGGCCAUAGAAUCGAAGACAAUUUGUGCUAUGGCUUGUUUUACCCAGAAUGGCUCUAUCUAUGGUAUCUUGGUAGCUUUAAUACAACCCAGCUACCCAUUUAAUAUUCUUUCUCCUUUUGCAACCAAGUUAGGUAAGGAAGGGCAGUAGCCCCAAACAUACUGCUAUGCAACCAAGGGCUUGUCAGCCAGCAGUUUUAUACUCCAAGAAGGAGUUCUAAAAGGCUUAAAUCUUCAUUUCAAUUGUCCAUCUCCCAGUGUCAUUUGGAGUCAAUCUGGUAAGUUUGGUGUCAUUAGGACUUUCCAAUUGAAGAUAAGGCUGUACUAUUUUGUCUCAGUCCUAGUCUUUUGUAGAAAUUUGAACUUUGUUGACUGACCGAUCAGUCAAAUUAUGAUAAUAUGGGACUGCUGCAACUAGAAAUGUCGGACAAGUCAAAACUUGUUUACCCAGAUAAAACAUAAUCAAGUUCUCUGAAUCAUGCUGCACCAGAUAAAGAGCUUACAUUGAAAUCUUGUUGAUGCAACUUUUUCGUGCAAAUAAGAAAGCCUGAUAUUAUAUUCUGAAUAAUUUAAUCAUGCUUGUGGUGAGGCUCUUAUCUUUUGCUUGUUCUUACUUGAGAUGCUUUUGUUACCUAUUCGAGAUUUAGAAAACCACCUCGAUACAUAUAUUUUGUGUUUCCAUAUCACUUCUAUGAGUUUCUAGGUUUAUUUUUAUCAGUGAUUUUUUCAAGAAAUUUGCAUCUAACUUCCUGCUUAAAUCCUGUUCCAAUUUUUUUAGUUGAGGCAGAAGCAAUUGCCAUUUAUGAAGUUAGUUCAGCUAUAUAAUAUUUUUAUUGAUUUUGCAUUGCAAGAUUAUGAUAUUUGAUUUUAUGCUUGUGCAUCAUUUUAGGAUGAAAAGAAUAUGGAAAUGAGAUGUGAGAGACAAGCUGCUGAAGCUCCUAAUGUAGUAAAGACUCUGUAUUCUAAUGCUGAAAUGAAUAAAGAGAAGGAAUGUGAUGGCAAUCCAAAAUUUGUUUCCUCUACGGCAAUCAAAGAUAUCUCAUCAGGCAUGGGAAGCCUUUAUGAAGUUGACAAAGUAUCAUCACAAAGUGAUGGUCUGGAAGAUCUUUGGAAAGACAUGUCAUUAGCAAUGGAAUAUUCAAAGGUUAUUAUGUUGCUAUUUUCUAUUUCCUUUGUUGCAUAUUCUUUCACAAUUAGCUUUGUAUUUGUGGUUUAUUUUGCAAUUUCCAUGUUGCAUCGUUGAACAAAAAUGACUUUCCUUCAGGUAACUACUUUUCUAUAGGAUUAUAUUUGAGUUAAUUAAUAUUUGAAGAACUGUAGGGUGCAGGUGCUUGUAUUGAUGAAAAACUAAUUAAAUGAAUAAUUGAAAGGUCCAGAUUUAGUCAGUUUGUUUACCAUGAUCUAGAGAAUUAUACUCAAGUUUCUUCCUGCAAGAGUCAAUGAACUUAAGUGACAAGGCCUUUUAAUUCGAUGCUAGUCAUGGGCAAGUGCUUGAAGUCAAACCUAUCAUCUUUAACAAGUUAUAUUAUUACAGCAAGUAAUGUAGUGGCUUAUAACCUUUAAGGAGUGAGCUUUCUUAACAUGGUCUAAAAUGCUUCAACGCUUACUGUCUUAACAUAAAGAUCCAUUCUUUCUUUGUUAUCCAGUGGAACAAUAUUGAGGUGCCCAUCAACCAAAUCUUCCCCACUUGUAUCCUUAUGAUGAUCAUCCUUGUUAGGUCCCCAGUCACAUCCUUGAUGACAUCUUCUUUGUCAGGUCAGUAGUAGCUUAGGAUGUUUGUUUGGGCUCCCUUUUUGGGACUUCAGACUUUAGAUUAAGCCCCUGUUAUUGCAUCCACAAGGAAACCUUCACCAUGAUUUAUGUUAUUUGUGCACCAUGGAUGUGUCCUUGCACAAGUUUCAAGUAGUGAAUACAUGGUCGUGUAAUAAUUUAUUCUUUUUUCUUUGUUAUCAAACUAUUAUAUUACGGCAUAUAUCCUCAUUGACAUUUAUAUAAUUACUAGUAAUGGAUUUGUAUUGGGAUUCAAGUUCUCUCACUUUUUCCUUUACCACAUACUUUUAAUAGCAUGAUACAUGUAGAAAUUAUAAACUGUUUGAUACUAGAACUUACAUAACAGAAGCUAAAAGAUUCAAAUUUGUUAAAAGGUAUGAUAUCAGUUUAUUGGGUACUAUAAUGACGUAUACCACCUAAUAUUAUUGAAUUAAUAAUAAAAAACAAAUACGAAUUGGUAGCUAGAUAUAUGUCAUAGCACUGAACUAUAUGGUCAGAUAUCAUCAUUGGUCAGACCGGUAAUACUAGCCGGUAUACUGGUCCGACAUAUACUUGAGAUUAGUCAAGUAUAAAUUGAUCAGCCAAGUAUACUCAGCGUAUGCUAGAACAUGUCUAUUUGAGAUUAGUCAAAGAAGCCAUAGCGUCAAUUCGAUUAUAGAUUUUAUGAGCAUAUCCUGUAUGAUAUAUGUUGAAGUUAAUCCAGAGAGUGCCAUAGGGUUGUAAUGUCUUUUUGUAGGUUCUAUAUAAUUCUCAUCAACAUACAUCAAACUCAAUGCUUUUCCUUUAGUCUUAUUGAUUAUCUUUUCUUUUGUAUCUAGAUUGAUACAUCAGAUGAUCAAGCACUUGUGCAACAAGAAGAAGAAUGUAACCAUUCGUACUUGCUCCAAGAUGACUUUGGCCUUGUUUGUCGUAUUUGUGGAGUUAUUCAGAAGAGGAUAGAUACAAUAUUUGAUUUCCAGUGGACGAAGGUAUGUGCACCAAUAAUACAUACAUUACUUCUUGUAGAGAGAUUUUUUCUGCGUACAUGUUUGGAUACUUAUAUUCAGCAAAAUUUUAUUCAAUCAAUAACAUCUCUCCUAUACUUUCUAUAAUUAGGCCUUGAAGAGUGUAUCAUCUGUAAUUGUAAAUGCAUUCUUAAGCAAUCGUGCCAUUUGACAUCUUGUAGUGUUUGUCUCUAUCAGGGAUCACGACAUGAUACAAUUGGUUUAGAGGUAGAAUAGCCUUAUAGAAUAGGUUCUACUUUCAAGUUAACUUAUUGCCAUUGUUGUCCUUUACAUUAUACCACACUAUUGACAAAUUUGCUUUGAACACAUAGGGGCUAAAUUAUAGGUGUGAACAUCAAUACCACCUUGUGCUAGUCCACUGAUGCCAAAUUUGGUGAGUGCCUACUAUCUAUUAAAGCUAAUGGUGCAUAAUGUUAAUGCAUCUUGCUAACCUUAAUCAGCUAUGGGAUUUCUUGUAUAAUGGUCCUAACGGGGACGUUACCAUUUGAAUGAGGGAGAUUGUGAUGCUCUGAUAAUUGCAAACUGAUACAAGAGAAAACAAAAAGUUUUAAAGAGGCAUAUGGUUGGCAACCUAGGUUAAUAAUGUUUGGUUCAUUUCAGUAGGCCUACCCCAUGUAAGGUAUUUAGAUAGUAGGCUGUUUAGGUUUGUUAUACAUGUUAUGCAAGUGGUAGAUAUGGGGCUUGUAGUGCCUGAAAUUUCCUUUUACUAGAGUUUAAAUUAUGGGCAUUGUGAUCUAAUCUACAUGGGCAAAGGAGUAUAGUGUGAUACCCUAACAAUCCAUCAUCAGAGAUGCAAAAGAGAGGGAUUUGUGCAACUCAAGUUUACCACAACUAGAAAAUUGUAUCAGAAUUUUGCGGCACAUAGUGGCAGCUCGAAAUUGUUAUAUGUUAUUGACAAUUUAGGAUAGUAGUUGAUUGUAUUGAUCCCUUUGUGUGAUAUCUCAACUAAGAGGAGCUUACAAAGAUGCACCGACACAUCUCCAACUAACUAGCUUGUCUAGAGGAGCUACCUAAAAGAACCUCAAGUCCAAUUAAAUAGUAGUUCAUUAUACUAGUUGAAAAUUGUAAGCUGAAAUCCUUUCUAUAUUUCUUGUUCCUCCAGUCAUGUUGCCUUUUCCUGAUAAGAUCAUUUUCUUGGGUUUCCAUUUCCUUAUGUAUCAUUUUGUUUCAUCAUCUUUUUUUUUUCUUUCUAUUUCAUACCAUGUUCCUUAAAUCUGAAGUUCUAUUUGGGAAUAGACAAAUUGUCCAAUUGUGUUGCUUUUGCUAGUUGAACCAUAUCAUGUUAAAACAAUCAUAUUAGAGCAGCUGCUGAUUGUCAUUGUUUAAUGCAUGGAAAUAUUAUGGUUGUGAAUAAUGAUUUCAAUAAAUUCUAGCUUCUCAUGUAAAAUGUUUUAGCAAUUUUUGUUCAUGAAAUGUGUAUUAUCAGUUGUCUUGCUGUUUCCUUCUCAGGGCUCACGUGCAACAAGGACAUACUUGACUGGACCAGGGAACUCCAAGGAUCUAGUGGCUCACUACUCUGGCCUUGAAGUUUCAGAGGAUGAUUUUAUUGCUGCCGAAUUAUCUAUUCAUCCAAGGCAUCUGAAGCAAAUGAAGCCGCAUCAGCUAGAAGGCUUCAAUUUCUUGGUUAAGAACUUGGUUACAGAUAAACCAGGAGGAUGUAUUUUGGCUCAUGCGCCGGGGUCUGGGAAAACCUUCAUGCUUAUAAGCUUCAUCCAGAGUUUCUUGGCUAAGUAUCCAUUGAAGAAGCCUUUGGUUAUCCUUCCUAAGGGUAUUUUGCCUACAUGGAAGAAAGAGUUCCAACGGUGGCAGGUUGAGGAUUUACCCAUCUAUGAUUUCUACUCCUCUAAAGCUGAUAACAGAUCUCAGCAAUUGGAAGUGUUAAAGCUUUGGCAAGAGAAUAAAAGCAUUCUUUUUUUGGGUUAUAAACAAUUUACGAAUAUCAUUUAUGAUAAAGAAAACAGCAAGGUCUCUGCUGCAUGUCGGGAAAUGCUGCUGAAAAUCCCCAGCCUUCUGAUAUUGGAUGAAGGCCACACUCCAAGAAAUGAGGACACAUUCGUGCUUGAUUCACUUGCAAAGGUGCAGACUCCUCGAAAAGUAGUACUUUCAGGAACCCUAUUUCAGAAUCAUGUUAGGGAGGUCUUCAAUAUUUUGAAUCUUGUGCGCCCUAAGUUUUUGAGGAUGGAGACUUCCCGAGUCAUUGUCAAGCGAGUCCUAAGUAGAAUAUAUAUAUCAGGAGGUAGAAAACUCUCUAAGAGUAGUGUGGACAACGCUUUCUAUGAUUUGGUUGAGGAAACACUGCAGCAUGAUGAGAAUUUCAAAAGAAAAGUUACUGUUAUACGAGACCUUCGAGAAUUAACCAAGGACGUUCUUCAUUAUUAUAAGGGUGAUUUCUUGGAAGAGCUGCCUGGUCUCGUGGAUUUCACUGUCCUCUUGAACCUCAGUGCUAAGCAAAGAGUGUAUGUUCAAAAACUUGCCAAGUUUGAGAAGUUCAAAAGAACCUCUAUGGGUAGUGCUGUCUAUAUCCAUCCUCACUUGUAUGACACAGCAGAAAAGGCUUCUGGGGACAGGGUCGCAUUUUUCAACGAUGAUAAGAUCGAUAGCUUGUUAGAAUCUCUUAAUAUCAGAGAUGGGGUUAAAACAAAAUUUUUCCUCAACAUUUUGUCUCUGGCUGAAUCUGCUGGAGAGAAACUACUUGCUUUCAGUCAAUACAUUCUACCUCUAAAAUUUUUGGAAAGGCUAAUAGUUAAAACCAAGGGUUGGCAUUUAGGAAAAGAAAUUUUUAUGAUAUCUGGUGAUUCGACUUCUGAGCAAAGAGAGUGGUCGAUGGAGCAAUUUAACAACUCCCCUGAUGCUAAGGUUUUCUUUGGUUCAAUCAAGGCUUGUGGGGAAGGCAUCUCACUUGUAGGUGCAUCUAGAGUUGUGAUCUUGGAUGUUCACUUUAAUCCAUCUGUCACCCGCCAAGCUAUUGGGCGUGCAUUUCGGCCUGGCCAGCUGAAGAAAGUAUAUAUUUACAGGUUAGUUGCAGCUGAUUCUCCGGAGGAGGAAUUUCAUUAUACCUCCUUUAGCAAGGAGUUCAUCUCAAAGAUGUGGUUCGAGUGGAGUGAGUAUUGUGGCCAUCAGAACUUUGAGUUAGACGAGGUUGAUUUGGCUAGCUGUGAAGAUUUGUUCUUGGAAAGUCCUAUCAUAGGAGAAGAUAUCAAGGCGGUGUACAGAAGGUUAGUUCCCGUACUUGGUCUACGUCUGAGUUAUAUUUUUUACUGCAUUCAAAUGCAAUUUUUGCAUGUUGUUGAUUGACGUUGAUACGAUAAUACAGGUGAUUCUUUGGCUGAUGCGUGGGAGAGCAUACGACAGAUUGUAGGAUCUUCAGAUGGUCUGACAUUGUACAUCAUACCAACUCUAAUUUUCUGACCUUGCAGUCUUUUUCUAUAAUGCACAAUUUUCAUAUCUAGAAGUGAUAAAUCAUGUUCUUCCCAUGUUCAGGUCUUCAUGGUACUUGCUGGUCACAUUAUGAACUCUCCCUUUUCAAGAUACAUGUAAAAGUUUGACUUGUUGGCUGUUUGAAUCGACUGCAAAGCUACUAGAGAGAUGAUCGUUGCUGGCGUUCUACUUCUCUUGAUGAUGUGUAAAAAAGAUGUGUUCAUGGUUGCUGAUAUCUGUUUUGUUCUUGUUGGUGACUGUUUGUCAUCGAGAUGCAUUAAUACUAUCUACCAUUUUGUUGAGUGUGCUGUUGAGCUCGCACUGUAGAUGUUUUGGGAUCAAUAGCCCCUCUAAAUGCAAGACGUGUAUAUAAAAUGACUUGUCAAUGGCUAAUGCCAAAUAUUUUGAUACAAUAUCGCCAUCUACAAGUUAAUACUGUCUGAUGUUAAGUCGAAUAUAUAUAUCCUUUUGGUCUACAGCUGUUGCUUAUACCCUGCCGUGUUGCCAUCAUCUCCCCAUUUCUUGGUGUUCCGUCCUGUGAGUGUUGUAGCAGAGACUUGAAACUCGUUCAUCGAAAGAAUGCGUCUAUCCUCGUUUCAUGGCGAAGGUGAAACAUUUUUAUUUGGUUUAAUGUUAUUUAUUUAAGUUUAUAUUUUUCUUAUUUACACAAGCACUUCGUAAUCUAAGUUUGGGUAUAUCUUGAAUUAAUUUAUAAAUUAUCUCCUGUAGUUAAUUAUUUUUAAUAUUUCAGUUUCAUUGAUAUUUUUAUUAUUAUGAAAGUAAAACAUCUAGAUUUAUUUAUUUUAAUAUUAUUAAUUUUAUGAAUAAAAAAAUAUAAAAAUAAAGUUUAAAAAUAUAAUUUUAAUGUUUCAGUUAAUGAUGGUGGACGAUAGAUAGUAUUGGUGAGAGUCGUGGGUAAUUGUCGUGGAUGAGGAAAGCGACAACGAAAGAUGAAUAUCGUUUUGCAUUUACGUCAAUAUUGACAUAAUUAUCGAUUGACGAAAGGGUUGCUCAGUAACUAUGUCAACAUCGACGUAGAUAUAAAACGACUAUCAACUCUUCUCAUCCACAACAACCAUCGAUAUAAAGCGCCUAUCGAGUGAUGUCGUCAUUUGCUACCAUCGAUAUUGUCCGUUGCCACCAAUUAGAAUGUUAAAAUUAUUUUUUAUUUUAUAUUUUAUAUUUUUAAUAAUAAAAUCGAUAUUGUUAAAAUAAAUAAAUUUAAAUAUUUUAUUUUUAUAACUAUAGAGAUCUCAAUAUAAUUUUUUUAAAUAUAAGACUUGAAAUAUUAAAAACAAUCAACUACAUAUAAGACUUGAAAUAUUAAAAACAAUCAACUACAUAUAAGACUUGAAAUAUUAAAAACAAUCAACUACAUACCUCAUUAUAAGCCCUUUGACAUGACGACAGACAAAGCAUCUUUACUUGGUAAGUUUAUACAUUUUUGAUUAUCAACUGCGAGAUGGACAUAAUUUUUAAGAUCUUGGUAGGCUAAUCAUCUUCUUCUUUCUAAUUCCCGAAUCACCCCUGGUAGAAUCUCCAAGCCUACAGCUUGUGAGAUGUUAGAGAGAACCUGUGAUUAAGAAUUCCUAUAAUAAGCUAAAAAAUGACGUAUAUAUAAUAAUAAGAUAAAAUUUUUUAGUGUUUGUUAUUUAUUUUUUACAUGGCUUGAUGAGAGGUACUAAUACGAAAAUAGAAUGUUGCUAUAUAAAAUUGCCAACGUGCUCGAUAGCUUACAAUAAGUUCUCUUCCUGGAGGUUCAAACAUUUUCCUUCCUGGAAACAGAACUCUUGCAUGUCAUUUCACUUCUUGAAAAUAAGAAUAAGAACAGGGCCAGUUGGUCGAUUAAGCAUUUCCAAUUUAAAGCUUGCCCAGGAUUCAACGGGCAGACCAGAUGCAAAACCUUGGAUGCUCUCCAGUUCAUCCCUGCAUAAUGAAAUAUAAACAACAUCAUAAAGCAUCUGAAUUCAUUCGUUAAUGCAUGCUAUAGUUCAUCGUGUUGUUUGGUUGUAUACACUCAAGCUACUAAAGAGCUAAAGCAACAACAAAGUUCAAUAUGAGAGGGAGUAACUAGUGACUGAAACUAGGAAAAUAACUACGCCUUGGAAAGUAGGAACCUCCAUAAGGUUAUGCAUUAACAUUAAAAGAAAGGAGGACACACGAUAUUGUAAAUGAUGAAUCACACACUGUGCCUUCAUCACGAAGUUUGCAGGCUGUACUUGAAGGUAAUCAUAUAUACCUAAAAGAUGAGACUCUGCUCUUUGAAUUGUGAAUUACGACAAAAUUCAGAAUGUUAGGUUGCUCAGGCUGCAGAAAAAUCAAAAGUAAAACAUUUACCUUCCGCCUGGAUGUCCAACAUAGACCAUGACGCUGAUAAGUCCUCCAGACCCCAGUACCCUACCAGCAGCCUGCAAUGCUGCCAGCGUUGUUCCUGGCGUUGUAAGAAUUGCUUUGUCUCCCCCUGGCAGAUAGCCCAAAUUGAAUACCACAAGUCUGAAUUGUAACAAGCAGAAAUUCUUGUGAACAAUAAACGGAUGUAAAACCAGGAGGUUACUUCAGCAAAAAAGAAAGUUUAAGCAAAAUUAAAACAAAAAAAUAAUAUUUCCUAAAACACAAAACAAGAGUGAUCUAAAAUAAAAUGUCUUAGUGAUGCUGCCUGGCUUAAGCAUAUACCAAUUCUUUUUCAUGUACCCCAAAUUAUAUCCUUGGUAGCUCACUUUAUGUUCUUAUAGAAAAAUUAAACUUUUUCGGAAUGGCAGGGUCCAGAUUCCAGAAUUCAACAUUAAGAUUUUACUUGCUCGAAACUAACAUACAAUAAAUACUCUGGAACCUGUUCCCGAUAUAGUUAGAAAUAAAUUAAUCUGAUAACAUGGAUUAAGAUCAGCAACUUAAUGUGUGAGAAUAAUAAGCUCAGUUUGAAAAUGUAAUCACACUUUUAGUAGCACUCUUAGUCAUUUGAGACAAGAUCCCUUAAUAAAAGCUCUUGCUCUAAAUUGUAGCUAAAUUGAUCAUGGACCAAAGGGAGUCUUCCAUAAUUCCAACUUGCAGCAAAGUCAGGCAGUUUCAGCCUUUCUUGAGUAGCUGGCCCGAAAUGGGUUCUACCAAAAUCCCUUCACACAUUGGGAACAUCAAACAACUUGAACCAAUCAAAAUCUAUUCUUGAAGGUGUGCAUGUCAUGACAAAAGUACAAUCAAAACCAACACCUUAAAGUCACCUCAAGUAUGUAUAUGUAAAUAUGCACACAUAUACAGACGGAUACAUGUAUAUACAUGUAGUGAUUCUCUAAAUAACAAUGUCAAAAAGACAUAUCAUGUUUAUGGUAACUUGAAGAGAGUGCUCGAGCUCAUACUACAACAAUUGAGUUAUUUUUCUUCACAAAAAAUACAUGACAAAUUCAUGCUCUACAUAGGUCAAUGCUGUUAUGGGAUUGACAAGGUCACUACUGAAAAUAAUGGUAUGUAUGACAGCACAUAUGGGUUUCCAAUAAUAGUAACUGAGUUCAAAUAGCUGGGUUACCUGACAGAGUUGUCAUUUUGAACAAUAUCUUCCAUUUUGCUAUGACAAAGCUUCAAGAGCUUCACUAGUUUCCUCUACCAUAAAACAAGUCAACUGUUACUUGUAGCUCAGUGGUAUCUAAAAAUGGAAAAGCAGUUCAAAAGUACAACAAAAUCUAAUUUCAAGAUCUUGGUCCAAGAACUAUCAAAUAAGAUUUUUUUCUUCAAGACUAAAUUUCUCAGCAAGAGAUAUCAUUAUUCGCUUGAAAAAUGGAAUAAAACAAGUGAGAAAUAUAGUUGUAAAAAUUUUAGCACCUUGUUUUCCUCAACUGAUAUUUCCAGUAAAGCAGAAGUGUUGUCCAAUGCUUCUUGCUGAAUGUCCAUUCCAUAAACACAACCCCUGCCAGAUUCACCGGCUACCAUUGCGAGCAAUGCCAGCGUGUCAUAACCAUUGCCGCAUGUUGCAUCAAUUACAGUGUCUCCUUUCUGAAUGAUAUUCUUCCACACCCUAAUAAACCACAAGAAUGAAAGCAGAACGCAAUUAUCAGCAUAUUUGUUAUUCAUAUAACAAACUGAAUAUUAAGGUAUUAGCAGUUUGUUCAAUACUCCCUUGUGCCUUUGUUUGCAACUCCACUAUGCUCACAGGAAAUGGGAGACGAUGCAGCAAUUUAUUUAACAAGAUAAAAUACAGUUAUUCCAAAAAGAAAUUAGGAGACCCACAUAAUUAUAAACAAGAAAUUAAUUUCAGAAUUAAUUGAAGCUAUUAACAUAGGAACUAUAUAUCUUUGAUGCUCAUGAUUGUGAUAAAAGAUAUUUUUGUACCAAAAAUAAUUUAGAAAAGGACUGUAAGCCCAGAAAGUACUUAAGCAUGAUCACCAGCUUCAAGAGAGACAAGACUGACUACAGGAUUGGCACAAGAUUAAUCUGUAUAUGAAAGGAAGCCAAGCAACCCAAUUAAAUCUCAUUUUUAAGGCCUUACAUAUACAUUAGCUGAUAGAAAGUCUAAGGUUUAUCAGUAUGUUCUUUUCUAUGCCUAUACACAGAGAACACUUGAUAAUUGGUGACUUGUGUUGCUAUUUCCUAGACCCAUUUUGCAGAAUAAUAGUUACUUGCAUAUAUCCUAAACCUUCCAGUCCUAUCAAUGGAUAAAUAGGAAAAGGCAAAUAACAGGGUAACAUUAUGAUACAUCACGUCCCUUUGACUUAGAACUCAUCAUUGAGAAGUGAACAAUAGGUAACAGUAGUGCCACCACCAUGGGUUUUAAGAUGGCCCAAAUAACAUACAUACUGAUACUGAAGACAUGGAACCAAUCAUCCCCCCCGCAUUAAACACACAGGAAAAAUAUCAAAAGAACUAUGUUAUUGGAUUGAAAAAUCAAGAAAAAAAUCUGCUUCAAUAAAAUUCAAAAGGUUAAUUGUGCAUUCAUGUCACUGUAUCGUAAUUCUCGGUAAGAUGCUACAGGCUCCAUAUAUUUUUCAAAAGGGUUUUGGUAAACUAUGUCAGGGAUAAGUAGCUGGUGAGAAGCAGGUACCAGACUUUUAAACUUCGGUGCAAGAAAAUCCUCCAAAAACCAACUUUACCCCAAAACCACAAAUUUGCAUCCUGAUGACAAGCAGAAAACCUAAUUUCUAAAAUACUCCUUUAUCACUAACGUCUGGACAUAUCAUCCUGACAACUGGGAAUGUUAGAAAAUCUGCAUCAAGUUUAUGAAUUGGGAUAUCUAGUUAUACUCAAUAAGCAUGUAAAUCAGAAAUCCUUCAAGAAUUUUUCCAUUGACAACAUAUCGAAAACCAUCAAAAGGAAAAAUAAGAAAGGAUCGUUGUACCUACGAGUGAGCUACCUCCGUUGCUUUCUUCCUUCCGGUGAUAAAACCCAUAAAAGCUUCCUCCAUUCCUAAAUUCGAAACAGAUUGAUACAUAGUGAUAUUUUAUCAUCAAAAGGAGAGAACAGUGGCCACAAUUGCUCAUAUAUUAGUUUGCGGGUUGCAAUAGAAGAAACAUGCACUACAUCAUAAAGUACCGGCGAUAGGGAACUCUUUGGCGCCGGAUUUUCGUGAGGAACCCGUCGAGAGCUGAGCCUUCAACGAUAUGCUUCGACGAAAUAAAGAUCGGAGAGGAGAUGGGGCGGUAAACCUUCGGAAAUGCGGCGAGAUUAAGGUUAGGGCUUCCAUUUUGGGAGGUUGUGAAAGAGGUGAUUGCGUGGACGAAAUGGCAGAACUCGAUGUAAUACCGCGAUGGAGUGUUCAGAAUAAUCCACGUGGUCUAAACUGACGGCUAUGAUUGCAUCGACUCAUUGCUCACCUCUUACAUUCGGACAGCACAGUUUUUAAGAUUAUGUGUAUAUAUAAAAUAAAAACUAAAAUAAUAUAAAGUAUGAUAGAAUAAUCUAAAAUUCGAGGGAAAAAUAACCGAUAUUCAUGAAAAAAAAUCUCAUAAUUAUUAGUACAAAAUAAAAUGUUAUUUAUUAUUAUCUUUUAAAGCAUUAGUGCAAACGAAAUAAAAAGAAUACACUGCCGUAUGUCCAGAAAUAAACUACAAAAUCUUGAAUGCAGUGAAGUAAACCGGAGAAAAGGGUCCAAUUUUUUCUUGCAAAGCAAUUUUACUUUAAUCUUAUUGGUUCUUAGUUCACUUUAUUUUAAUCGUCAAAUUAUUUGCCCCAUUAUCAAUCGCUACACUUUUCUCUUUACCUUCGUAUAUUCUUGGAUUUCUUCAUCAUCGGGUAUUCGCUUGUGGUACGUGAAUCAGAAGGCUGUGUGCGGCGGCGCAGCAUGAGAUGCAUCCAAGAUUCAGUGUGCCAGAGAGAUGAAGUUGCUAUUUAUAGUGCAAAUUUAUUCUCUAGUAAAUGGUGCCGAACAUACGAUAAGAACGGUGGGCAUCACGUAUACUGAAACAGACUCUGGACGUCCGCUCCUGCACGUAUAUAUAGUAGCGAGCAUGCAAGAUAACUACUGCAGUGUUCCUGAUGGCCAUCACGGGGCUUCUGCAGGUGCCGGAGCGAGGAAGGGAACGGCGGGCACAGUUGGGAUGGAAGGCAUGACCGGGAUGGAGGGCAUCGUGACCUCAGGGAUGCUUGGUAUGGCAAACAAAGUCGGCAACGUAGCAGUCGGCAUGACCGGCAUUGGCGGCACUGCAAGCUUCGGAACAGUCGGUACCACCGGCAUAGGCGACGACGUGGGAAGUGAGGGUGGAAGUGCUGCAGGGGCUUCGGCGGUGUCGAGCAAAUGGCGUGCUGCACCGCAUGUCAAAUGGGUAGCCAAGAGAAGGGAUGUGAGAAAGCUCAUUCCGUAGAGGGCAGCCAUGGAAGUCAUGGAUGUGCUUGCCCAAGUUUCAGCAGGGUCUGGGAUAUGAUGAAGAAGGAAGAGCUAGGGCUGUGCUUGUGAUGGUGGUGAUGCAG
rnacentral:lncRNA from 1 species